ACAUCAACAGGAAAUGUAACUAAGACAGUGUGUGGAGAAUUACUGUGAUCUCUACUUUAACACUGGACCCUGGAUAGCAACUUUCUCAAACUUAAAAAGACCUAAGGAGGCUGGCUCAUUUCCAGUGCAGGGAGGAAAGAUUUCAGAAAAUCAGGGUUUGAGGAGAACUUCAAGAUAACCCAAGUCUUGUCAUUUCCAAACUUAGCUAAACAGCAACCUCUGGGGAGGUGUUCCCAAAUGUUCAUGUGCCCUAUUCAAGGAAGCAGCUGAGAACCAUGAAGAGUAAGAAGGCAAGAAAGUCCAGGUGUGAGAAACAGCAGGAUCACUGCAGUAGGUGCAGAGGGGGAGCUACAGAGAAGGGGCAGCAACGGCUCCAGAGACAACUCAUUAAGAACUACCCUCAAAAUCUGAGAAGAAAAUUCCCAAGCAAAGACUGUACGUGUGUUCAGAACGGCCUGCAGCCCAGCAGACUGGUGAGGGUGUGGAGAUGGAGUGGCCUGGUAAUGAACCAGAAGUCCACAUUAGCUCAAGGAAAAAAGCACCGCUCUUCUAGCCUCAGAAAGACUUGAUCCUCUGGAGGUUAAUUUAGGUUACAUUACCAUAGAUGGAGUCUCAGUACAAACCCAGGAUGUCCUCAAAACUCACGCUCCUCUUGCCUCUGCCUCCUGUGGCCUGGGACUAUAGCCAUGGACCUCUACACACUGCCUGACUGCACUCAGUCUUAAUUCUCUUGUUCCUGAAGAUGAGACAAUGGACUCCUGGGAAGACUGAAUGUCCUCAUCCACUGUCAGAGCUGGGUCUCGAUUCAGGUUCCCGACUCCCCGUGAGAUGAAUGUCCUGCUCUCCCCUUCAGUUGUUUAUGGGUACAGACACAGGCACCUCCCACACAGAACACUCACUUCCUCUCAUCCUUCCUCAGACUCAUGUGUCACACAUGAGCAUGGGUCACCCCAGGAGGGCACACCAUCAUUUUUUCCUCUUCUUUCUUUCUGUCCACUUUCUACACAAUGGGCUUGUAUGUACACU
rnacentral:lncRNA from 1 species